rnacentral:lncRNA from 1 species
GCAGGUUGGAACGCUGCCGCCUCCCCCGGCGCUGGCCGCUGGGAGGCGGAGCAGAUGGUGAUGGCGGAUUGGGGGUGGAUGAGUACAAUGCCCACCGGCACCCAGGCAUCAACCACUGUCCACUGGAUUUGGGUAGUUCAACAGAAAGCCUCGUGGCAGGCAGACAGCAGAUUUGAUAUGGAACGAGUCCCUGUCCUUACUACUACUUCUUCCGUGCUCAAUAAGGCUAAGGCCUCGUCGGUUUUACAGG